CCUACGGGUGGCAGCAGUGAGGAAUAUUGGUCAAUGGGCGCAAGCCUGAACCAGCCAAGUCGCGUGAGGGAAGACGGCCCUACGGGUUGUAAACCUCUUUUGCCGGGGAGCAAGCCUGAGCACGUGUGCCCAGGCGGAGAGUACCCGGAGAAAAAGCAGCGGCUAACUCCGUGCCAGCAGCCGCGGUAAUACGGAGGAUGCGAGCGGUAUCCGGAUUUAUUGGGUUUAAGGGGUGCGCAGGCGGGCUGUGAAGUCGGCGGUAAAAAUUCCGGGCCCAACCCUGUCCAGCCGUGGGAACUGGCGGCCUUGAGUGGGCGAGAAGUAUGCGGAAUGCGUGGUGUAGCGGUGAAAUGCAUAGAUAUCACGCAGAACGCCGAUUGCGAAGGCAGCAUACCGGCGCCCGACUGACGCUGAGGCACGAAAGCGUGGGGAUCGAACAGGAUUAGAUACCCUAGUAGUC
rnacentral:rRNA from 1 species